AUUGAACGCUGGCGGCAGGCCUAACACAUGCAAGUCGAACGAGUGGCGGACGGGUGAGUAAUGUCUGGGCAACUUCCUGAUGGAGGGGGAUAACUACUGGAAACGGUAGCUAAUACCGCAUACCAUACGAUUUGCCCAUAUGGGAUUUGCUAGUUGGUGGGGUAACGGCUAACCAAGGCGACGACCCCUAGCUGGUCUGAGAGGAUGACCAGCAAAACGGGAACUGGGACCCGCUCAAGAGCCCUACGGGAGGCAGAAGUGGGGAAUAUUGCACAAUGGGCGAAAGCCGGAUGCAGCCAUGCCGGGUGUAUGAAGCAGGCCUCCGGGUUGUAAAGUACGUUCAGCGGGGAGGCGUUACCCGAAGAAGAAGCACCGGCUAACUCCGUGCCAGCAGCCGCGGUAAUUC
rnacentral:rRNA from 1 species